CGGCACGGGUGAGUAACGCGUAUGCGACCUGCCCGUUGCAGGGGGGAUAAUCGGGAGAAAUCCCGUCUAAUACCGCGUAACGCCGCGGGGCUGCAUGGCCCUGCGGCCAAAGGGAGCGAUUCCGGCAACGGAUGGGCAUGCGUGACAUUAGCUAUUUGGCGGGGCAACGGCCCACCAAGGCGACGAUGUCUAGGGGUUCUGAGAGGAAGGUCCCCCACACUGGUACUGAGACACGGACCAGACUCCUACGGAAGGCAGCAG
rnacentral:rRNA from 1 species